rnacentral:rRNA from 1 species
UACAGAGGUCUCAAGCGUUGUCGUAGUCUAUUGGGCGUAAAGGGUGCGUAGGUGGCGUGGCAAGUCUGAUGUGAAAUCCCGGGGCUCAACCCCGGAACUGCACUGGAUACUGCCAUGCUUGAGUACUGGAGAGGAGAUUGGAAUUUACGGUGUAGCAGUGAAAUGCGUAGAUAUCGUAAGGAAGACCAGUGGCGAAGGCGAAUCUCUGGACAGUUACUGACACUGAGGCACGAAGGCCAGGGGAGCAAACGGG